CCCCGACUAGCUCAGUUGGUAGAGCAUGAGACUCAUAAUCUCGGGGUAGUUGGUUUCUGUCCCACGUCAGGUG
rfam:Lepisosteus oculatus linkage group LG3, whole genome shotgun sequence.